AUUGAACGCUGGCGGCAGGCUUAACACAUGCAAGUCGAGCGGAGAUGAGGUGCUUGCACCUUAUCUUAGCGGCGGACGGGUGAGUAAUGCUUAGGAAUCUGCCUAUUAGUGGGGGACAACAUUCCGAAAGGAAUGCUAAUACCGCAUACGUCCUACGGGAGAGAGCAGGGGAUCUUCGGACCUUGCGCUAAUAGAUGAGCCUAGGUCGGAUUAGCUAGUUGGUGGGGUAAAGGCCCACCAAGGCGACGAUCUGUAGCGGGUCUGAGAGGAUGAUCCGCCACACUGGGACUGAGACACGGCCCAGACUCCUGCGGGAGGCAGCAGUGGGGAAUAUUGGACAAUGGGGGGAACCCUGAUCCAGCCAUGCCGCGUGUGUGAAGAAGGCCUUAUGGUUGUAAAGCACUUUAAGCGAGGAGGAGGCUACUGAGACUAAUACUCUUGGAUAGUGGACGUUACUCGCAGAAUAAGCACCGGCUAACUCUGUGCCAGCCGCCGCAGUAAAAC
rnacentral:rRNA from 1 species